rnacentral:misc_RNA from 1 species
AGCAGCAAUUGAACCAACCUGAGUCAUCAGUUUAUCAAUAAUUACAUAAUUCUAGGGAUAAAAUCACAUAUGAACUGUGCUUGCAUUGUCUCAUUAUUUACUAGGAAAAUAAAAAUAGAAAAAAACAAGUUGGAAAGAGUGAGAAUAAUAGGACAAACUGUUUUUACUUACCAAAUUCAACUACUUUUUUUUAAGCAUUUAUGAUCUUUGCAGUAAAAUUAAUAAUAUAAACCCGGUCUGAUCAAAGGUUACCCCCGAUUCCCAUAACAAAACUUAGGUUUAGCUCUUAAUGACACUAAAAUUCUAAUCAAGCUACGGUCACUAGGCUCCAUUUGGCAUUGUUGUCAGAAAGUCAAAAAAAAGAAAAAGCAUUUUGAAAAAGCAU